rnacentral:rRNA from 1 species
GAUGAACGCUGGCGGCGUGCCUAAUACAUGCAAGUCGAGCGAAGCGGGGACGGGUGAGUAACACGUGGAUAACCUCCUAUAAGACUGGGAUACCUUCGGGAAACCGGAGCUAAACCGGAUAUUUAUAGAUGGAUCCGCGCUGCAUUAGCUAGUUGGUAAGGUAACGGCUUACCAAGGCAACGAUGCAUAGCCGACCUGAGAGGGUGUGCGACCACGCUGGAACAGAGGCACGGUGCCGACGCCUACGAGAGGCAGAAGUAGGGAAUCGUCCGCGAUGGGCGAAAGGCGGACGGAGCAACGCCGCGGGAGUGAUGAAGGGCUUCGGAUCGGAAAACUCUGUUAUGAGGAAAACAGUACCAAAUCAGAAAGCCCCGGCUAACUACGUGCCAGCAGCCGCGGUAAUUC